AUGGAUAGUACUGGAAUCCUACCAGCAGGAACAAACAAUGGUAACGCUGUAGCAGAUCCAGGUGUUGGCAAAGCAGGGCAGAAUGGCAAGACAGAUCUUAACACGCAACACAAGGCACACGAGGGGGGUGGAUUCAGGAAUCCCAUUGCUGAGAACAAAGGAACUAGCACAAGAAAAGAUGAGCCAGUACAGAAGCCAAAUGACAAGAUAACAGCACAGCGACAACAUCCUCGAUGGACUUCUUGCUGGAUCCUCUUAUCAGCGAAUGUUAUCCAUCCCAUAGGUAUCUCAUUGAAAAGAAGUUCAUUGCCUGCUUGA
rnacentral:rRNA from 1 species